UCUGAUUCCAGUGGACUUUACUACUGUGAGGCAGAGAAUGAAGUUGGCUCACAGAACUCUACUGGAGUUACAGUUUCUACAGAAGAAGUGGCUGCCAUCAUCCUGCCAGCUAUUAUCACCAUGAUAAUCAUUCUUGCUGUCCUGCUGUUACUUGGAAUUGUGUGCUUGAGCAAGAAGAAUGCUGAAAUUACUGCAGAUAGGGAC